rnacentral:rRNA from 1 species
CAGUAGCCGCGGGAAUACAGAGGGUGCGAGCGUUAAUCGGAUUUACUGGGCGUAAAGCGUGCGUAGGCGGCUUUUUAAGUCGGAUGUGAAAUCCCUGAGCUUAACUUAGGAAUUGCAUUCGAUACUGGGAAGCUAGAGUAUGGGAGAGGAUGGUAUAAUUCCAGGUGUAGCGGUGAAAUGCGUAGAGAUCUGGAGGAAUACCGAUGGCGAAGGCAGCCAUCUGGCCUAAUACUGACGCUGAGGUACGAAAGCAUGGGGAGCAAACAGGAUUAGAUACCCCUGUAGUCCCUGUCUCUUAUAC